CUUACAUCAAUGAAUUAUUUGGUGACAGGACCACAUGCACCCGAUUUCAACUUGAUAACUUCUCGGACGGCAGGAUAUUUAUCACGGUUGAAUAUUCAGUAAGAAGACGACAAGUGAUGAACUGUAUAACACUGAGGGACAGUUCUUAGAUAAGAUAGAAAAGACGGAACAUAUGCUGUAAAUGAUCUGAAGUGAUUCCAAUAACAAAAACGUGGUUUGACUAUCUAACUGGAUGUUAGGGUAUUAUACUAUAUCAGCGGAAUUUUGGAGAAAAAUAUUGAAAUGCAGAUUACCAGUAAAUUUAUUUUAUAAAAGAACGUGAAAGAGAGGCGACAGAUAUACCAAAAGGACAUUCAAACUCAUAAGUUGAAAAUAAACUGUCAACGCCAUGGUUAAAAAGAAAGAAAGACAAACAGAUCUAGACAAUCAAUAGUACCCGAACACAACAUAGAAAACUAAUAACUGAGCAACACGAACCCAAAAAAACACUAGGAAUGAUCUCAGGUGCUCUAAAAGAGCACGCAGAUCCAGCUUCACGUGUGGCACCCGUCGAGUUGUCCAUGUUAGUACAAACCCGGUAUGUCACAUUCGGGCCGGGGGGGAUGAGAGGAACAUAGUAAUUGUAGUUACGACAUCUUGAACGUAUCCUCUACCAUUUGUGAACUGGAUAUUCCAUACGACCAACCAACUCGUGAUGGUGUCCGUAAAAUUUACUAAUGGAUCAUUUUAACCUCACAACUUGGAACUUUUGGUACACUAGCUUUCCUGUGAGCAGCAUUCUAUCAUCAAGGAAAUCAUGAUAUAGGAAAUUAAAGCUCUGAUUAUCGUAGCAAGUCGGAGAUAUAUUCAAGUCGGAGGUAUAUGCUGGAAUGUUGCUACAGGGACAUGGAAAGUUCACAAUUGGAAACUGAAAUCACCUCUUUUGUUGUAAACUUUUGUUUUCGAUAGACUCUUAUGGUCAAAGUAUUAGGCGAAAUGAUAUGUUAGUUCUUUUAUGUAGCUUUACUUCUGCGCUCCAAUAUUAUACAAAUAUCCGAUAUUUCUUGUCUCAAAU